rnacentral:SRP_RNA from 1 species
GCCAGGCAUGGUGGCGCAUGCCUGUAGUCCCAGGUACUCGGGAGGCUGAGGCAAGAGGAUUGCUUGAGCCCAGGAGUUUGAGGUUGCUGUGAGCUAGGCUGACACCACGGCACUCUAGCCGGGGAAAUAGAGUGGGACUCUGAUUCAAAUAAAUAAAUAAAGAGAUAGCACAUAUUUCUCUUUCUUUUUUCUUGAGACAGAGUCUCGCUUUGUUGCCCAGGCUAGAGUGAGUACCAUGGCAUCAGCCUAGCUCACAGCAACCUCAAACUCCUGGACUCAAGCGAUCCUCCUGCCUCA